rnacentral:rRNA from 1 species
GAUGAACGCUGGCGGCGUGCUUAACACAUGCAAGUCGAACGAUUAACCCUUCUUCGGAAGGUCAUAAAGUGGCGAACGGGUGAGUAACACGUGACCAACCUGCCUCUCACAUUGGGAUAACUUAGAGAAAUCUAAGCUAAUACCAAAUACUCUUGAUCUUUCGCAUGACGGAUCAAGGAAAGCUUUCGCGGUGAGAGAUGGGGUCGCGGCCCAUUAGGUAGUUGGUGGGGUAGAGGCCUACCAAGCCGAUGAUGGGUAGCCGGGUUGAGAGACCGGCCGGCCACAUUGGGACUGAGAUACGGCCCAGACUCCUACGGGAGGCAGCAGUGGGGAAUUUUGCGCAAUGGGCGAAAGCCUGACGCAGCAACGCCGCGUGCGGGAUGACGGCCUUCGGGUUGUAAACCGCUUUCAGUGGGAAAGAUAAUGACGGUACCCACACAAGAAGCUCCGGCUAAAUACGUGCCAGCCGCCGCGGUAACAC